AUGGAGGACGCAGCAACCUCAAAACCAGCUCCACCCAAUGUUGUUAUCACUCUCCCUGAUGAUGAUGAGGAUGAGGAACCGCUGAAGCGCAGAAAGAGUAGGAAAGCGUCCGCCAGCAAGGUGCCCCAAGAUGUGACGGCGCCUGAGACUCUGAUUGCGGAGGAAGAGAACACCACUCGACACACCGUGUCGUUCGCAGAUCCACUGACGAGUGCCCCGCAGCCCUCCCUCUUCACGACGCACCACGUCCCAGAGGACCAAGCUAGCGCGGCGAAGGAGGCGAUACGCCAAGCAGGAAUCAUGAUGGAGCAAUUGAAGACCAUCCGGGAUGCGAGCCAGGCAGCUUACGACGCUAGUUCCGCCCUCCAACGCAAUGUUCAGAACUCCUGUGAUCUUGUGGCUCGCUACUCUGAGCUGGAAAACAAGCACACUCAACUCGAGCUGAACUUGAAGCUGGUCCAGGAGAAGCUGACGAAGGCAAAGGAGGAGACCGAAGGUAAGGUAAGAGAGGCCCAACAGAAGAAAGACCUUGAACUAGCUGAGAAGAUCAAGCUUGCUGACGAGAAGUUAGCUUCAGUCACCAAGCUUGAACAAGAUAAUACCAAUCUGAAAGCUGCUCUUGGGAUCGCCAACAAGGAGGUCAGUCGACUGAAAACUGAUAAAGCUGCCCUGACCGACCAAGUCAGUAAGUUGAUUGGGAAGAAAAAUGACCUGGAGGCCUUCCUGAGUGGUCUCGCCAAGAAGCUGUUUCUUAUGCUUGAAGAAUUUUGCCAAAACUUUGAAGAAGAAACUAGCCGGCUGGAGCCAAACCUCGACCCCGUCAAUUCUCCGGUGAACGACGAAGUUGCCAUGGAUGUUUUCCAACUGGAGUCCCGUGUUGCAGCUGCCGUGGACUAUCUCGCAAGGCUGAAGGUCGCCACAUCUCGCAUCGACUCGACGCUCUGGCCCGGGGAGACACUUCAGAAUGACCUUGAGUCGCUGAUGGCUCGCUUGAACACGAUCCCUGGUCGAGUGCAGGAAUGGAAAAAGUCCUCGGCUCGGUGCGGUGCAGAUGUUGCUCUGUGUCUGGCCCGAGUCCACUGCAAAGAUGCGCGAGAAGAGAAGCUGGCGGCCCUCCGGGUGGCCAACACCAAGAAACAUGACUUCAGGUCCUUUAUGGAAACUUUCCUUGCGGCUGCCACUCGGAUCGCAGACGGAAUUGAUCUUGAUGAAUUUGUUGCACCUUCCAGCCCUCCACAGGAGUAG
rnacentral:rRNA from 1 species